UGUGAGCUCGAUGAGUAGGGCGGGACACGUGGUAUCCUGUCUGAAUAUGGGGGGACCAUCCUCCAAGGCUAAAUACUCCUGACUGACCGAUAGUGAACCAGUACCGUGAGGGAAAGGCGAAAAGAACCCCGGCGAGGGGAGUGAAAAAGAACCUGAAACCGUGUACGUACAAGCAGUGGGAGCCUCUUUUAUGGGGUGACUGCGUACCUUUUGUAUAAUGGGUCAGCGACUUAUAUUCUGUAGCAAGGUUAACCGAAUAGGGGAGCCGAAGGGAAACCGAGUCUUAACUGGGCGUUAAGUUGCAGGGUAUAGACCCGAAACCCGGUGAUCUAGCCAUGGGCAGGUUGAAGGUUGGGUAACACUAACUGGAGGACCGAACCGACUAAUGUUGAAAAAUUAGCGGAUGACUUGUGGCUGGGGGUGAAAGGCCAAUCAAACCGGGAGAUAGCUGGUUCUCCCCGAAAGCUAUUUAGGUAGCGCCUCGUGAAUUCAUCUCCGGGGGUAGAGCACUGUUUCGGCAAGGGGGUCAUCCCGACUUACCAACCCGAUGCAAACUGCGAAUACCGGAGAAUGUUAUCACGGGAGACACACGGCGGGUGCUAACGUCCGUCGUGAAGAGGGAAACAACCCAGACCGCCAGCUAAGGUCCCAAAGUCAUGGUUAAGUGGGAAACGAUGUGGGAAGGCCCAGACAGCCAGGAUGUUGGCUUAGAAGCAGCCAUCAUUUAAAGAAAGCGUAAUAGCUCACUGGUCGAGUCGGCCUGCGCGGAAGAUGUAACGGGGCUAAACCAUGCACCGAAGCUGCGGCAGCGACGCUUAUGCGUUGUUGGGUAGGGGAGCGUUCUGUAAGCCUGUGAAGGUGUGCUGUGAGGCAUGCUGGAGGUAUCAGAAGUGCGAAUGCUGACAUAAGUAACGAUAAAGCGGGUGAAAAGCCCGCUCGCCGGAAGACCAAGGGUUCCUGUCCAACGUUAAUCGGGGCAGGGUGAGUCGACCCCUAAGGCGAGGCCGAAAGGCGUAGUCGAUGGGAAACAGGUUAAUAUUCCUGUACUUGGUGUUACUGCGAAGGGGGGACGGAGAAGGCUAUGUUGGCCGGGCGACGGUUGUCCCGGUUUAAGCGUGUAGGCUGGUUUUCCAGGCAAAUCCGGAAAAUCAAGGCUGAGGCGUGAUGACGAGGCACUACGGUGCUGAAGCAACAAAUGCCCUGCUUCCAGGAAAAGCCUCUAAGCAUCAGGUAACAUCAAAUCGUACCCCAAACCGACACAGGUGGUCAGGUAGAGAAUACCAAGGCGCUUGAGAGAACUCGGGUGAAGGAACUAGGCAAAAUGGUGCCGUAACUUCGGGAGAAGGCACGCUGAUAUGUAGGUGAAGUCCCUUGCGGAUGGAGCUGAAAUCAGUCGAAGAUACCAGCUGGCUGCAACUGUUUAUUAAAAACACAGCACUGUGCAAACACGAAAGUGGACGUAUACGGUGUGACGCCUGCCCGGUGCCGGAAGGUUAAUUGAUGGGGUCAGCGCAAGCGAAGCUCUUGAUCGAAGCCCCGGUAAACGGCGGCCGUAACUAUAACGGUCCUAAGGUAGCGAAAUUCCUUGUCGGGUAAGUUCCGACCUGCACGAAUGGCGUAAUGAUGGCCAGGCUGUCUCCACCCGAGACUCAGUGAAAUUGAACUCGCUGUGAAGAUGCAGUGUACCCGCGGCAAGACGGAAAGACCCCGUGAACCUUUACUAUAGCUUGACACUGAACAUUGAGCCUUGAUGUGUAGGAUAGGUGGGAGGCUUUGAAGUGUGGACGCCAGUCUGCAUGGAGCCGACCUUGAAAUACCACCCUUUAAUGUUUGAUGUUCUAACGUUGGCCCCUAAUCGGGGUUGCGGACAGUGUCUGGUGGGUAGUUUGACUGGGGCGGUCUCCUCCUAAAGAGUAACGGAGGAGCACGAAGGUUGGCUAAUCCUGGUCGGACAU
rnacentral:rRNA from 1 species